AUUGAACGCUGGCGGCAGGCCUAACACAUGCAAGUCGGGCGGUAACAGGAAUCAGCUUGCUGAUUCGCUGACGAGCGGCGGACGGGUGAGUAAUGUCUGGGAAACUGCCUGAUGGAGGGGGAUAACUACUGGAAACGGUAGCUAAUACCGCAUAACGUCUACGGACCAAAGUGGGGGACCUUCGGGCCUCAUGCCAUCAGAUGUGCCCAGAUGGGAUUAGCUAGUAGGUGGGGUAACGGCUCACCUAGGCGACGAUCCCUAGCUGGUCUGAGGGGAUGACCAGCCACACUGGAACGGAGACACGGUCCAGACUCCGACGGGAGGCAGCAGUGGGGAAUAGUGCACAAUGGGCGCAAGCCUGAUGCAGCCAUGCCGCGUGUAUGAAGAAGGCCUUCGGGUUGUAAAGUACUUUCAGCGGGGAGGAAGGUGUUGUGGUUAAUAACCGCAGCAAUUGACGUUACCCGCAGAAGAAGCACCGGCUAACUCCGUGCCAGCAGCCGCCGUAA
rnacentral:rRNA from 1 species